GGAAUCUUCGGCAAUGGACGAAAGUCUGACCGAGCAUCGCCGCGUGAGUGAAGAAGGUUUUCGAAUCGUAAAACUCUGUUGUUAGAGAAGAACAAGGGUGAGAGUAACUGUUCACCCCUUGACGGUAUCUAACCAGAAAGCCACGGCUAACUACGUGCCAGCAGCCGCGGUAAUACGUAGGUGGCAAGAGUUGUCCGGAUUUAUCGGGCGUAAAGCGAGCGCAGGCGGUUUUUUAAGUCUGAUGUGAAAGCCUUCGGCUCAACCGAAGAAGUGCAUCGGAAACGGGGAAACUUGAGUGCAGAAGAGGACAGUGGAACUGCAUGUGUAGCGGUGAAAUGCGUAGAUAUAUGGAAGAACACCAGUGGCGAAGGCGGCUGUCUGGUCUGUAACUGACGCUGAGGCUCGAAAGUAUGGGUAGCAAACA
rnacentral:rRNA from 1 species